rnacentral:pre_miRNA from 1 species
UAUAUACUCCCUUCAUCCGAAAAUACUUGUCAUCAAAAUGGACAAAAAAGAUGUAUCUAGAACUAAAAUACAUCUAGAUACACCCUCUUUUAUUCAUUUUGAUGACAAGUAUUUUCAGACGGAGGGAGUACAAC